GCUGCUGAGGCAAGUUGUAUUUGUUGGUUGUAGUGAAGCCGGAAUAACCUUGUGGAAUUUUAAACUACUUUUCAGAAGUUCCCUCUAAGCCUUCAGUGUACAAGGAACCUGAGUAUCUAUACUAUCGUUAGUGCUAAAGCUUCUCGCACUUCCCCCCGCAGCCCCUCAGGCGCUUUCAGCCGCAAAGGAAAACUAAAGAGGGUCGUUGAAAGCCUCAGUUCCCAAGGUGUAUUUCUGUGGCGAUUUGAACAAAACCAGCCCUGUAGUGCUUCCGCUUCUUCCCCGUUCAUUUUUCCCAACUCGCGGCCGAGGGAAAGGUGUUUCUAGACCGCAGCAAAAUGCAGAUGACUUGACUGUGAAAAUUUUUGCUGCUUCCCAAAGCAAAAUUUUAUGAGCUCCAGUUUUAUCAGUGCUCCAUGCUCUUCCUUCAGCACAUUAUCUAUCUUAUGUGGAGCUGCAGGUAAAUCAUACUCUAAUGACUUGAGGGAAAAAAAAGAGACAAGUUGUUAUAAAAUGAAAUUACAUGUUCUAUGUUCUCCCAUUUUUGACAAAACACUUUUCUCUUGUUUAGUGAUGAAUACUGUCAAUAUACUGCAGGAAAAGUAAGUCAUUGAUCA